GACGAACGCUGGCGGCGUGCUUAACACAUGCAAGUCGAACGGUAAGGCCCUUCGGGGUACACGAGUGGCGAACGGGUGAGUAACACGUGGGUGAUCUGCCCUGCACUUCGGGAUAAGCCUGGGAAACUGGGUCUAAUACCGGAUAGGACUCCUGCCUGCAUGGGUGGGGGUGGAAAGCUUUUGCGGUGUGGGAUGGGCCCGCGGCCUAUCAGCUUGUUGGUGGGGUGAUGGCCUACCAAGGCGACGACGGGUAGCCGGCCUGGGAGGGUGACCGGCCACACUGGGACUGAGAUACGGCCCAGACUCCUACGGGAGGCAGCAGUGGGGAAUAUUGCACAAUGGGCGCAAGCCUGAUGCAGCGACGCCGCGUGAGGGAUGACGGCCUUCGGGUUGUAAACCUCUUUCAGCACAGACGAAGCGCAAGUGACGGUAUGUGCAGAAGACGGACCGGCCAACUACGUGCCAGCCGCCGCCGUAA
rnacentral:rRNA from 1 species